GGCAAAUAGCGGGAACGCUCCCCCUAGUUUAUUUCCAAAUGCUUGAAAUCUCGCGCGUUUCUUCCUCCUCUCCAUUUCUCCGAUCAACUAUGGCUUCAACAUCUUCUGGUAUCUACAUUGUCAAUAUCAUUAUCUUCACAACUAUGUUCAUCCAUUUUGUUGUGUUUACGAAUGUUAUCUUCAGCAACUGCCAUGUAAUGGAUCGAAUUCAGUUCACUAAUUUAGAUUUCGACGUACCACAGCCUUUUCAUCCUUAAACCUUGAUUCUCCUUAUAUUGAAAGGGAACAGACUGAAACGAUACGAGUGGUUUUUGAUUGUGGAAGCGUGUGUCAUCAACCUUAUAUUCGGCAGUGCCUACAUCCACUGUCAAAGGAGCGACACCAAGAUUCUUUAUCGACGACCAGUCUGACGAAUUUUACAAGCUACAAUAUGGAAAAAGAUAUAGAAAAAUGUUGUUCUAUGUUACGUUAUUAGCUCCCUAAACUGUUAUUUCCAGCAAUGCAUUCAGGAUUUAGUUACCGGAGAAUGUUAAGUAUUCGGGAUAUAAAGUCGGUGUCUUCGGCGCCAAACAUUUUUUCAGUCAAUAUGAUUCGAAGAGGUGCAUUUAUCAAAAACCAGAUCUAACCAGUUUGGUGUUGCAGCGUUGUGACCAUUAUUUGUGCUUGACGUGUCAGUUUGCAGUUAGAGGAAGAGCUAGGAAGGACAAUUUAGGGGUUUACUAAAAUCGUUCAAGAAUGGUUUCUAAAAGAUCUCAUCAGUCACUCAACAAAGCUUUCUCAAAACUCUUCCUUCCAUGGAGACUAAACAGACAUAUUUCCAUCACCCGUAAACGCCCGUGAUUCCUGCCAAUUGAAGAAAAGUUGCUGUUUUAUAAAUAGCAGCGGCGCUGUGGCGCUACAAACGGAAAUUUUAACCCGUGUCUUUUUCGGAAUUCCAUGGCGCUCCUUGCUAGGUAUUUCUGGGUCUCUAAAACAAUUUGUGUUAGUUUGGCUCCACUUACUCAACAUUUGAAUGGUGUUUAGUACUCUGCUUGACGGUAACUUGAAGCCAAAUCAACAAUUGACUUGGCUUUCAAUAGCUACAAUUUUUUCUUCCACUUGAAUGUUUAUGGGUUUUAGUUUUGAAAUUUACUAUUGUAGUGGAAUGGAGCAUUUGUUUCCAAGUCAAUAUUCUAUUUUACAGGAGUAUUUGUGUUUAACUCAGUGCUUCCGUUCAAAUAACGUGUCCGCAACUACAAACCAUGUAGGUUUUGUUUCUAUCCAUGACUUUAUGUUGAGUGGAUACUUUGAUUGUUGUUUUGACGUUCUUCAAUAUGCUUGCUGAUAUUUGUUCCA